rnacentral:rRNA from 1 species
UACGGGGGGGGCGAGCGUUGUUCGGAAUUACUGGGCGUAAAGGGCGCGUAGGCGGUCUGCUAAGUUGGAUGUGAAAACUCUGGGCUUAACCCAGAGCCUGCAUUCAAAACUGACAGGCUAGAGUUCUGGAGGGGAUAGCGGAAUUCCUGGUGUAGCGGUGAAAUGCGUAGAUAUCAGGAGGAACACCGGUGGCGAAGGCGGCUAUCUGGACAGAAACUGACGCUGAGGCGCGAAAGCUAGGGGAGCAAACAGG